GGCAGCCCCUUGUCUGUGAUCAGGGAGGGGAUAAGAGAGGCCUGGGCAGUCCAGCCCCAGCUCUGUGGCCUGAGAACAGCCUGUGCUCACCAUGGCCUGGACCCCUCUGCUCCUUGCGCUCCUCUCUCACUGCACAGGUUCCCUCUCCCAGCCUGUGCUGACUCAGCCGCCCUCUGUGUCUGCAUCUCCUGGAGCCACUGCCAGACUCACCUGCACCCUCAGCAGAGACCUCAGUGUUGGUAGUAAAUACAUGUACUGGUACCAGCAGAAGCCAGGGAGCGCUCCCAGGUUUUUCUUGUACUACUACUCAGACUCGAACAGCAAGCUGGGACCUGGGGUCCCCAGUCGGGUCUCUGGAUCCAAAGACACCUCAGCCAACGCUGCACAUCUGGUCAUCUCGGGGCUGCAGCCUGAGGACGAGGCCGACUAUUACUGUCAGGUGUAUGAAAGCAGCACUUUCCACAGUGACAGAGACACAUGAGGAAGUGUGACAGAA